UCGGUUUUGUCGCAGAUUGUAUAAUGUUAAAUUUUUAUUUGUUGCAGUUUACAUAUCGACUUUUAGAAGAGCAGGAAAGGGUGUAAUUUUGUCAGAGCUUACAUACAGCCAGUACCGGAAAUCAACACAAUACCUAUAUAGCUACUUUCCCACAGUCAUACGAAACUGUAUGGGAAAAUAAAUUUCUUUUUUCACAACAGAACGGUAGCUAUUUGAAGUGAAUUGUAGCUAAUCGUUUGUUAAGUCAUCGAAGCGUAUUUUGAUUUUAGACGGCUACGAAAGUGGUUUAACUUAAUACCUACUGUGUAUAAAAAUACUGCAGGUACCAAUUCAAAUUUUUGCUUCCACGGUAAAUUUACGAAAAAUCACAUCAGAAAUUGACUAAUUAUUGUCGACGUUAUGAUGAAUAAUUCAAUGACGUCAAAUAACAAGAAACAUAAUAAUCCAUCGAAUAGUGA